rnacentral:lncRNA from 1 species
GUACGCCAUAGCGAAGGAGUGAGAUGGUUUGCUGAAAGCAGCCCUUCCAUCGCACACGUCUUGCUAAGUCUACUGAACUCCUCCUAUGCACUACCAAGAUUACAUGCUUGGAAAAGUGGCUUCCUGGGGAGUAUUUGGAAAAGGCACCCCCGAUGUGUACCUUUCCCACGGAAAAAAAGAGACUAACAUACCAAUAAACAGUAGCGGUGAAAAUGAAUGUUAAAUGUAGGAGACAGACCCUAAGUCAAAAAGCGAAAGACCUUCUGUUGGAUUGAACCAUGAAGAGCGCUUCAUUCAAGCUUUCUACGUCUUCAGCCCCAGAAAAGCUGAGAGUUCCACUGGGGCAUGCGGGAUUUGCAUUCCAUUCCCCAAGUUCGCAAGAAAAGAAAGGGAAAUAAAAAGUGACAUAAGAGGCACCACCUGAAAGUGGAUAGCAGCAGCUCUAUAACCUUGCUCUGAGAUACCCCUGAGGGACGAGGAGGAAGGGAAAUCCUUUCAGUGAGCAGAAAUUUAACAAAUGUACCCUGCUGCCCAUUUUGCCUGGAAUGAAAGAUGUCCAGAGCUAGCCCUGUCAUUGCCUAAUGGAGUAUGAACAAAGGGGCCAUGGUGGCAGAGAUGGAGGCUGUGUACAUAGGCUCAGCAACAUGGACUUCCACUCGAAAAGGCUGAACUGGCUAUAACCACUGCUGAGAGACCAAUCUGCCAGCAGCAGAGACCAACACUGAGUCCCUGAUAUGGCACCAUUUUCCUAGGAUACAACAAGAAGACAGCCAUUUGCAAACUAGGAAGUGGGCUCACACAAGACACCAGAUCUGCCAGUGCUUUGAUUUUGGACUCCCAUCCUCCAGAACUGUGAGAAAUAAAUGUUUGUUGUUUCAGCCACCCACCCUAUGGUAAUUUGUUGUAGAAGUCAGAACUGACCAACACAAAUACCCUUUUAAAGACUCAGCUAUGACACCGAUUAGGAGGCAAUAUCUAGUAAAAUUUUACUUCUCAUCUCCUUGAUCUUAGACUGCUGUUCUAGAGGUCUCAGUUCCAAAGGAAAGAAUGCUUCCACCAAGGGUGGUUAAUACUGAUUACCAAGGGGAAAUUGGACUGCUACCCCACAAUGGAGGUAAAGAAGACUAUGUCUGGAAUAUAAGUGAUACCUUAGGGAGUUUCUUAGAACUGCCAUCUUCUGUGAUUAAACCCAAUGAAAAACUUCAAUAAUCUAAUUCAGGCAGGACUGCUAAUAGCUGACACUUAUCAGAAAUGGAUUUUUAGGUUACUCCAGCAGACAAAGCACCAUGACCAAUCGAAAUGCUUUCUGAAGGCAAGUGGAAUAUGUAAUGAUUAAUAUAAGGAGGUACUUAUAAAUACCAGCUAUAACCAUGUGGCCAGUUUCAGAAAUUAGGACUCUAAUAGUUAUUUCUUUAUUUUGUUAUGAAUAUGUGUAUAUACAAAUUUUUUUCUUCCC